rnacentral:misc_RNA from 1 species
GACGGUCUAAAGUAGCUUCUACACCGUUCACUACAAUGCCUGGAAAGUCCUUUGAGACCUCAUUUGAAUCAGGAAGGGACCGCCAUGUCUGUAAGGGCAACAUCAUGCAAAAUCAGAUUUCAACACAACAACAAACAGCUUUGAUCAAAUGAUAUCUUCAUAUUUGUAUGGCCAACUCUGAAUUUCUUUUACUCGGAGACAAAUGAUACAAGUUUUCUGAAUUCAAGUUCCUAACCCAUACUAGAGUAGAACCCAAACAAGUAUUUGCUUUGCCUAACAAAUUAUGAGUCUAUUUAAGCCCAAAUUACCAAGAAAGGGAAAAACAUCAUGAGCAGGAAAGCACACAAACCUGUAGUCAAGAUUGAUGGAUGCUUUUAUACAACAUAAAAUAGGAAAGAAAGCUUUAAAAAAUGCAUCAGUGAUUUAUUAACCUAUUAGCUAUUAUUGCACCAAUUGUGUAAAUCCAAAUCCUACAUGAGAUAUUUCAUCGUCUUAAAAACUUCUAAUUAGUACUCACAGCAGCUAUGCAAAAUCAUGUUCCCCACCCCUUUUCUUUUCUUUUCUUUCCCCCCUCAUACAGUCUUCGAGACUGUUCUGUUAGCGUAGUAGCAUAUGGAACACUGGGUUGCGUUUAAAAUACCAUAAAACUAAUAAUAAAAAUAAUCACAGAUCUAGCACUUAAACAUUAGGUGCACCAUCUAGUGCACAUGAAGUUCAAAAUCAAAGGUGCAGACCUUUCCCGCACUAAGGUGAAGCACAUCAACUGAUGGGCUUCACAAUCAUCCCCAAAUGUGCACUUUAAUAGCACCAAAAAUAUCAUCACAAAUGCAGUGUUUUAUCAACUUGGACACAAGAUGCUCCAAGAAAAGAAGAUAAAUCUUUUUCCUCCUUUUAC